rnacentral:rRNA from 1 species
UACGUAGGGGGCGAGCGUUGUCCGGAAUCAUUGGGCGUAAAGAGCUCGUAGGCGGUUCAGUAAGUCAGGGGUGAAAGCUCCGAGCUCAACUCGGAGAGGCCACCUGAUACUGCUGUGACUAGAAUCCAGUAGGGGAGUGUGGAACUCCUGGUGUAGCGGUGAAAUGCGCAGAUAUCAGGAAGAACACCAGCGGCGAAGGCGGCACUCUGGGCUGGAAUUGACGCUGAGGAGCGAAAGUGUGGGUAGCAAACAGG